GCUCUGGGACCACUUCCUCUUUCAUCACUCUGCUGCAGGGAGCAGGCCUGCUGAGCCCUCAGGAAAGACGGGACUCUGGGAUGCCUUAGCCCAUCUGUGAUCCCAGAUCACAGAUGUGGCUGAGUGUGCUGGCUGGAGACCUCCCUCCCUUCUUCAAGGGUAGCUGAGGGUCACCCUGGAGGCCUGCAGGAUGGAGGGGGCAAGUAAGGAAGAGAAGCUGGCAUCUGUGUCCAAUCUGGUGACUGUGUUUAAGAACAGCAGGCCCUGUCUUGGAUACCUCUUCGUGUCUGGGCAGUGCCCACGCCCCUCAGUCAUGGGUUCCUCGGAGUAUGGGAGAGGAGCUGGGUGUGGGUCCCCAGGAGCAGCGCCCAGAGCCCAUAGACUGGAGGCUGAGCAUCACCGCCCUGGGUGCAGGCCUCCCUCACCUGCAGGGCCACUGGAGAAGCCCACUGUGGGAGAGACCCUGGAGUCCAGGCCCAGGACAGUCAGCAGGAGAUACCUGAGCUCCCUGAAGAACAAGCUGUCCAGUGGGGCCUGGAGGAAAUCUUGCCAGCCUGGGACCUGCCCCGGCCCAGGGAUGCAGGAGCCUGAGGAGAAGAGGAUCGUCCAGGAGCUACUGGAGACAGAGCAGGCCUAUGUGGCACGCCUCCACCUGCUAGACCAGGUGUUCUUCCAGGAGCUGCUGAAGGAGGCCCGCAGCAGCAAGGCCUUCCCUGAGGAUGUGGUCAGACUCAUUUUCUCCAACAUCUCCUCCAUCUACCAGUUCCAUGCACAGUUCUUCCUCCCAGAGCUGCAGCAGCGGCUGGAUGACUGGACAACCACCCCCCGCAUUGGCGAUGUGAUCCAGAAGCUGGCCCCCUUCCUGAAAAUGUACAGUGAGUAUGUCAAGAACUUCGAGCGAGCCAUUGAGCUGCUGGCCACCUGGACUGACAAGUCUCUACCCUUCCAGGAGGUUCUCACCCGCAUUCAGAACAGCGAGGCCUCAGGCAGCCUGACCUUGCAGCACCAUAUGCUGGAACCUGUGCAGAGAAUCCCACGCUAUGAGCUUCUGCUCAAGGAAUACGUCCAGAAGCUGCCAGCCCAGGCCCCAGACCUGGCCGAUGCGCAGAAAGCACUCGACAUGAUCUUCUCAGCUGCUCAGCAUUCCAACACAGCCAUCACUGAGAUGGAGCGGCUGCAGGAACUAUGGGAAGUGUACCAGCGCCUGGGCCUGGAGGACGACAUAGUAGACCCCUCCAACACCCUGCUCCGAGAGGGCCCCGUCCUCAAGAUCUCCUUCCGUCGCAGCGGCCCCAUGGAGCGCUACCUUUUCUUGUUCAACAACAUGCUGCUGUACUGUGUGCCCAGGGUCAUUCAGGUGGGCGCCCACUUCCAGGUCAGGACCCGCAUUGACGUGGCCGGGAUGAAGGUGCGGGAGCUGACUGAUGCCGAGUUCCCCCACUCCUUCCUGGUGUCCGGGAAGCAGCGCACCCUGGAGCUGCAGGCCCGGUCCCAGGAGGAAAUGAUUGCCUGGAUGCAGGCCUUCCAAGCAGCCAUUGACCAAAUCGAGAAGCGGAAUGAAACCUUCAAGGCUGCAGUCCAGAGCCCUGAGGGAGACCCUCAGGAGCAGGAGUUCAGUCCACUUCAUGUGGGAGCUACUGGGAAUCACAGCACACAUAAUCCCUGCCUCAAGCAGGUGGGUAGAGGGCUCAGGGCCUCAGGGAGCGAGCCGAAGAGGGACGUGAAGUGCCCGCCCUGCUGCCCCACAGCUGCAGUCCGAGGAGCUAGGCCUCCGGGCGCCACAGUGGGUCCGGGACAAGAUGGUGACCAUGUGCAUGCGCUGCCGAGAGCCCUUCAACGCCCUGAAGCGCCGUCGCCACCACUGCCGGGCCUGCGGCUAUGUGGUGUGUGCCAGGUGCUCCGACUACCGGGCUGAGCUCAAAUACGACAGCAACAGGCCCAACCGAGUCUGCUUGGACUGCUAUACCUUCCUCACUGGAAACGUGCUCCCUGAGGACAAGGAAGACAAGAGACGGGGCAUCCUGGAGAUAACUCACACUGCAAAAGCCAGUGGCCAUGUCAUGAGGAUACUCAAGCAGCUCUGUGGAGAGGUCCAUGUGGAGAGGAACUGAGGCACCCAGCCUACAGACACCAUCAACUUGCCAGCUGUAUGAGUGAGUUACCUUCGAAACAGAUCCUCCAGUCCCAGUUGAGCCUUCAGAUGACUGUAGCCCCAGCCAACUAAAGCCUCAUGAGAGACCUCAACUGAGACCUGCCUAGUGAUUACGCUGACUCCUAAACAUAUCUAGGAAAAUCCCUUGAACUCAUCAAUAGACCUUCAGAUUAACCCACCCCAUGGCUUGUUGGUCCUAUCCUGAAGCUUGACCGUUUCUCCAUUUCCCUAUCUAAUAUCCUUCCUGGAGUCCAUGAGACUAAUGUCCACUACCCAGAGCACAUCUGAGGGCUCCCAAGAGCUGGCAGUGCAGUGGGGAUGAAUAAGGCCAGCGAUCGCACCUUACAUGGCCAUCCCCAAGGCUGCCUGGAAUCCCUGGGAUUACGCAGACUUCUGGAAGAUUUGGAGCAAGUGCACAUCACCUGCUGCCUCCACAAGUGUGCCUGGGUUUCUGCAGCCUCCGUCUUGUGACUGAGGAAUUUUUAAAUGGAAGCUCUGAGCUCACAAAGAAGAAAAUGUCUCCCUGAUGUCACACAGUUGCUGCCAAUUCAUCAGUGCAAGCUAAAGGCCUCCCCCCAGAAGAGAGGAAAUUCCACAGCACUGAUGUGAUGGGAAACGUGAUCUGCACUCUUUCUUUCUCACUCUCCCCGGCCAGUUCCCAAACUGGGUUUCCCUGGUCCCCCUGGAAGCGGCCUUCUCCGCUCCCCUCUCCUCCCUCCUCCCUCUCCCUCUCCAUUUUACACACUGUAACCUGAUAGGCUGGAAAGUCAGCUUCUUUCAUCUUCCAUUUCCCACAUCCUGAAAGUCUUUAGAGAAGGAGCCCACCCAGAUAAAGGAAUUCCAAGUAUGUGCACCCCCUCCCCCUUUAACUCCAUUCACAAAGCAGAUUACUAAUGGCCCGAAGCUCCAGGGAGGCCCUACCCCACUCCCCACCCCUGGCCUCCAAAGAGUUUACUCAUCCACAUCCUUCUCACUGGCACAAAAGCCCAAGUCCACAGGCCCAGAACCAAAAAUUAACUUUUCCCCGGACUCGGAUCCUCGGGAAUGCUUUCAGACUGCACCCCAGUUGGGACUGCAACGGCUACGAGAUUCUGUCUACCAUUCAUCUGUGCCCUCUCAGGCAUUUCGAGAUAAGAGGGCUCAGGGAAAAUGUGUCAUUGGAUCAGGGGAAAAGAUAUAAAUGUAACAUGUGAUGUUUCAAGGAGACACGCUCAUGUCUUUGGGAAAGAUCACAGACUGUUCUAAUCCAGAGACAUUCCUUUGUGACAGAAAUUGUUUUGAGGCCAGAGGAAAAUAUGCUUUAUUUGAGGGGAUAGGCAAAGAUUGGGUGUGUGUGUGGGUGUGUGUGCAUGUCUGUCUUGGGGAGGGAAGUUCUGGUAACAUUUUUGUUAAUACAUUUCUUGAGUUGAAAUAUCCUAUUGUCAUUCCUCACUACCUGGAAAUCAGCGUUUACAAAACACGCCCCCUGGGUCAGUUCUUUAUUUGCCUCAUCCAGAGUUCUGUCACUGCCUGCCUGCUUCUCUGACCUCAGCCUCAAAGGUUAGGAAGUACCCCCCAAGCAUCCCCUUUCAUUAAGGAUGAAAAACUAUCUUAUCCAUCCUUUAGGGACGGUGUAAAAGCUGUUUUGAAUCUGUACCAGCUCAGGGAUAAUCAGUCCCUUGAAUUUACUAAUCACUGUAUGGAAAAGGAUUUCCUAUAUCAAGGAGUGCUCCCCAGUCCUGAUAUCAGGGAGUAUCUUUAGUAGAUUAUUGAUCCAUAUCAUCUUUGCAAUUCACAGGAUCACAGGAUAGUUGGCUAACUUGCUCAGUGCUCUAGUAUUGGACCAAAAAUAUGCGAAUGGCCAGGCCCAUGUGAGUGCAUUGGGUCAUGCAUUCAAUAGAUCUAAUUUUUGCCCAGAAAGUCUCCUGGAAUUUCAAGAAGAAUUUGAGAGGCCAGACCUGGAAGAUGCAGUAACAAGGAUAAGAAAUAACAUACUGUGGCAGAACAGCCACAUGGCAGCUCCUUAGUUCAUCCCUAUGGUGCUGAGGAGAAAUCUGUACUGUAGAUCAGCUCCAGGACUGGCCCAUGUUUGCAGUCCUCAUGUAAGAGCAGCCUGCUCCGAUAUCUAGCUGGUAACAGGCUCCUACAUGGGUUCAGCCUCCCUAGAUAGAAGCACCAUGAAGGGAUGCCUGCAGCUCGGAGCAGGUAUUAUUCUCUGAGGCUCAGUUUCCUGUUCUAUAAAAUACUAAUCCUUGCUAAUCAAAGUGUGGUCCCCAGACCGGCAGCAAGUUUUCACCUGGGAGCUAGUUAGAAAUGCAGGAUUUCAGGCCCCAUCCUGAAACCUGCUGCAUUUGAACAGGAACCCCAGGUGAUCCCUGUGCACAUUACAGUUUGAGAUGCUGUGGCCUAGACUCAGGAUCUCGAAGGUCUUCUUUCUAGUUCUGAAAUUGUCUGAACUCAUUAAGUGGUUUCCAAGGAAGUUUUUCUUCUCUAAUAAAUAGUUUUCCUCCUUUCUUAUGCCUCCACUCUUGGCACUUACUAUCUCCCCUGCCAAGGAACUCAAAUUUCAAUAAGCAUCAGAUGUGCAUGAAGAGCUUGUUUAAGAUGCAGAUCCUGAACUCCAUCAAGAAAUGCACAGAGUAGGACUGCUGUGGGACCAGAGAUUCUGCAUUUCAGCUAGCUUCCUCCUGGUAGGUCUACAGAUUAUGGUCCCCGAAUUACAUUAAAUUUUUUUAUUAUGGAAAAAAAUUUUAGCAUACAAAAGAUAGAAAAAAUAGUAAUAAUAACAAAUCAUUUUUCAAUACGAGGCUUCAGCAAUGAUCAACUCCAGGACAAUUCUAUUUCAAUCACAUUACAUUUGAAAGACUUUGGCAUGUAGAUCUUCCCAAUCUUCGUUCCCUGCUUCCAGCCUUUUAAGGCUCAGUUUAUUCUCCCCAAGGACAAGAGUUGUGUGAUAGUCUUGGAAUCCCCAGUACCUAAUACUGUGCUUAGCACAUGCAGACACUCAGUACGUGAAUACAAUAAUAUACUGAAAAGAACUCUGAAGUAAAACAUAAACUGGAGGUUUAAACUGGAGAUAAACAGGGAUUAUCUGACCUCUCAUUUUUUUCAGUUCUUUGCCUGUGAUUCCUUAUUCAGUUGGAGAAAUUACAGCUUCAAAAUGCAUCUUUCCCAGUGAAAGAAUCAAGAAAAAGUUUCCAGAAGUCCUGGUUCACAUCCCUUUCCUUCUCGUCUCAACAUUUAAAAAAAAAAAAAAGGAUUUUGUGUCUGUGUGUGUGUGGUAAGGGAGAGGGUAGGAAAAUACCUCUGGGGCAUGAGGAUGUUGUCUCACGGCCUUUGUUUUACUCUUUAACCUGGUAAUAAAUCUCUUAAAGCUCCUGUGGUAUUUUGAAUAUCCUGGACAUGGCAAGGUCUUCCCACAGUUGUGAAAGGAAUUCAAGUUUACUAAGUGGACGGAGCACUGAUAUCCCAAAGGCACAGUCCUGCUCUUGUCACCUAUUUGCUAAUUAUACAGGCUAAAUCUGAGAUGGGUCUGCUAAGGAACAGGGGGAGAGUAAGGGACGGCAGGACCAAACUGAGAACAGAACUCUGCAGUUCCAAAACUCAGCACAACAAUCAGGGGAUGAAGCGGUAAUUAGGCCUGAUUAUCAUGCAAGGCAUCCCUGGUUAAAUUGGAAUGUAGCCGGAGAGACGAAAGGCUGGAUGGAGAGUUUGCUAUGCUGGAGACAUGCUUUGAUGUCUGCAGGGAAGGUUAUGUUUCAUUCAGCCAUCCACCCAACCAAAAAAAAUGUUGCAGGAGCAACAUGAAACCUUCUAAAACAUAGCAUACGGCAAGCUGAA